rnacentral:lncRNA from 1 species
CUUUGCUUAGCCUUCAAUUGUGGUAGAUCCUCUUUUUAAUUUCAGCCAAUUAGCCUUUAUAGACUCUCCUCCUCUCACCACAAUCCUUUCUCAAAUCAACCUCUCAAUUAGACCACCAAUCCAAGUCAACCCGUCUGUCCACGCACGUAAAUAGUCAACCAUAGCCGGGCUCCAGCGCCCUGACACUGCUUGUAGUGCAAUCCAGAGCGCCCCGGCGCUGUACUUCAUUUUAAUUACAAAAAUGUCAUUCAAUAGCUCAAAUUUUCAAUUCGCCCCUACAUCUCCC